rnacentral:rRNA from 1 species
GACGAACGCUGGCGGCGUGCUUAACACAUGCAAGUCGAACGGAAAGGCCCUGCUUUUGUGGGGUGCUCGAGUGGCGAACGGGUGAGUAACACGUGAGUAACCUGCCCUUGACUUUGGGAUAACUUCAGGAAACUGGGGCUAAUACCGGCUAGGAGCUCCUGCUGCAUGGUGGGGGUUGGAAAGUUUCGGCGGUUGGGGAUGGACUCGCGGCUUAUCAGCUUGUUGGUGGGGUAGUGGCUUACCAAGGCUUUGACGGGUAGCCGGCCUGAGAGGGUGACCGGCGACAAUGGGACUGAGAGACGGCGCAGACGCCUACGGGGGGCAGCAGGGGGGAAUAUUGCACAAUGGGCGGAAGCCUGAUGCAGCAACGCCGCGUGCGGGAUGACGGCCUUCGGGUUGUAAACCGCUUUCGCCUGUGACGAAGCGUGAGUGACGGUAAUGGGUAAAGAAGCACCGGCUAACUACGUG